AUGGGGCUGCCGGCACUCAAUCGGCUCAUGUCUGUGCAGCGCGAUCGGCGUCGCCGGCCAACUCAAGGCCGCAAUGGACUGGUAACUUCAUCCCUGGCUAAAAGGAAGGACUCACCCUGCAUACAUGAUGAAAAUUCUCGAAUUGAUAAAAAAUCGAGAUAUUCAGGACCACCCCUUCUAGAGGACAUUUGGCAUCAUAUACAUUCUCUGCUUCCUCUGCGAGAUGCUGCGUGUGUUGCCUGCGUGUCUCAUUCAUUUAGAAGUUCUUGGAGUUGUUUUCCCAAUCUCAGCUUAACUAGGGAAACACUGGGUUUGGAUGACGGGAUGGAUGGAUUGUCAUGUCCAUGUGAAGUAGCGAUGGAUCUUGCAAGGAAAACCGACCACAUUCUAAAAAACCACUCAGGCAUUGCGUUAAGGCACUCAAGCUUGAAAUAUGUGAUUUCCCCUUUUUCAACACCUCCUGUGAUCUCGAUCGUUGGCUUCAUAUUGCUGUCAAACCAGGGAUUGAGGAACUUGACCUCCAGCUUAUUGAAUCUCAUGCAGCUCUUUGUCGAGAAAAAUCUCAUGCGGCUCUUUGUCGAAAGAUAUCUCAAAAAUCACAUGCAACUGUGUACAACUUUCCAUGCUCACUUUUAG
rnacentral:rRNA from 1 species